CUACGGGGGGCAGCAGUGGGGAAUAUUGCACAAUGGAGGAAACUCUGAUGCAGCAACGCCGCGUGGAGGAUGACACUUUUCGGAGCGUAAACUCCUUUUAUAUAGGAAGAAGAUGACGGUACUAUAUGAAUAAGCGCCGGCUAACUCCGUGCCAGCAGCCGCGGUAAUACGGAGGGCGCAAGCGUUACUCGGAAUCACUGGGCGUAAAGAGCGUGUAGGCGGAUUAAAAAGUCAGAAGUGAAAUCCUAUAGCUUAACUAUAGAACUGCUUCUGAAACUCUUAAUCUAGAAUAUGGGAGAGGUAGAUGGAAUUUCUGGUGUAGGGGUAAAAUCCGUAGAGAUCAGAAGGAAUACCGAUUGCGAAGGCGAUCUACUAGAACAUUAUUGACGCUGAGACGCGAAAGCGUGGGGAGCAAACAGGAUUAGAUACCCUAGUAGUC
rnacentral:rRNA from 1 species